rnacentral:rRNA from 1 species
UACAGAGGUCCCGAGCGUUGUUCGGAUUCACUGGGCGUAAAGGGUGCGUAGGCGGUGAGGUAAGUCGGAUGUGAAAUCUCCGGGCUCAACCCGGAAAUGGCAUUGGAAACUACCUUGCUGGAGGAUUUGAGGGGGGAUUGGAAUACUUGGUGUAGCAGUGAAAUGCGUAGAUAUCAAGUGGAACACCAGUGGCGAAGGCGAAUCCCUGGAAAAUAC